UUAAGAGAAUCGGAGACGGUUUGUGUCUCUGUGUUCAGAAGAACUGCGAGGUAUAACAAAAUCAACGGCCGAGAUAUCGUUUCAGUCGUCAUAUUGUAUUGGCGAUUCGAUUGUUGCUCGUCCACAU